AUAGAGUCAAGUGAAUAAGUGCAUCAGGCGGAUGCCUUGGCGAUGAUAGGCGACGAAGGACGUGUAAGCCUGCGAAAAGCGCGGGGGAGCUGGCAAUAAAGCUAUGAUUCCGCGAUGUCCGAAUGGGGAAACCCACUGCAUUCUGUGCAGUAUCCUAAGUUGAAUACAUAGGCUUAGAGAAGCGAACCCGGAGAACUGAACCAUCUAAGUACCCGGAGGAAAAGAAAUCAACCGAGAUUCCGCAAGUAGUGGCGAGCGAACGCGGAGGAGCCUGUACGUAAUAACUGUCGAGAUAGAAGAACAAGCUGGGAAGCUUGACCAUAGCGGGCGACAGUCCCGUAUUCGAAAUCUCAACAGCGGUACUAAGCGUACGAAAAGUAGGGCGGGACACGUGAAAUCCUGUCUGAAUAUGGGGGGACCAUCCUCCAAGGCUAAAUACUCAUCAUCGACCGAUAGUGAACCAGUACCGUGAGGGAAAGGCGAAAAGAACCCCGGGAGGGGAGUGAAACAGAACCUGAAACCUGAUGCAUACAAACAGUGGGAGCGCCCUAGUGGUGUGACUGCGUACCUUUUGUAUAAUGGGUCAACGACUUACAUUCAGUAGCGAGCUUAACCGGAUAGGGGAGGCGUAGGGAAACCGAGUCUUAAUAGGGCGAUGAGUUGCUGGGUGUAGACCCGAAACCGAGUGAUCUAUCCAUGGUCAGGUUGAAGGUGCCGUAACAGGUACUGGAGGACCGAACCCACGCAUGUUGCAAAAUGCGGGGAUGAGCUGUGGGUAGGGGUGAAAGGCUAAACAAACUCGGAGAUAGCUGGUUCUCCCCGAAAACUAUUUAGGUAGUGCCUCGAGCAAGACACUGAUGGGGGUAAAGCACUGUUAUGGCUAGGGGGUUAUUGCAACUUACCAACCCAUGGCAAACUCAGAAUACCAUCAAGUGGUUCCUCGGGAGACAGACAGCGGGUGCUAACGUCCGUUGUCAAGAGGGAAACAACCCAGACCGCCGGCUAAGGUCCCAAAUGAUAGAUUAAGUGGUAAACGAAGUGGGAAGGCACAGACAGCCAGGAUGUUGGCUUAGAAGCAGCCAUCAUUUAAAGAAAGCGUAAUAGCUCACUGGUCGAGUCGUCCUGCGCGGAAGAUGUAACGGGGCUCAAAUCUAUAACCGAAGCUGCGGAUGCCGGUUUACCGGCAUGGUAGGGGAGCGUUCUGUAGGCUGAUGAAGGUGCAUUGUAAAGUGUGCUGGAGGUAUCAGAAGUGCGAAUGUUGACAUGAGUAGCGAUAAAGCGGGUGAAAAGCCCGCUCGCCGAAAAGCCCAAGGUUUCCUACGCAACGUUCAUCGGCGUAGGGUAAGUCGGCACCUAAGGCGAGGCAGAAAUGCGUAGUCGAUGGGAAACAGGUUAAUAUUCCUGUACUUGAUUCAAAUGCGAUGUGGGGACGGAGAAGGUUAGGUUGGCAAGCUGUUGGAAUAGCUUGUUUAAGCCGGUAGGUGGAAGACUUAGGCAAAUCCGGGUUUUCUUAACACCGAGAAGUGAUGACGAGUGUCUACGGACACGAAGCAACCGAUACCACGCUUCCAGGAAAAGCCACUAAGCUUCAGUUUGAAUCGAACCGUACCGCAAACCGACACAGGUGGGCAGGAUGAGAAUUCUAAGGCGCUUGAGAGAACUCGGGAGAAGGAACUCGGCAAAUUGAUACCGUAACUUCGGGAGAAGGUAUGCCCUCUAAGGUUAAGGACUUGCUCCGUAAGCCCCGGAGGGUCGCAGAGAAUAGGUGGCUGCGACUGUUUAUUAAAAACACAGCACUCUGCCAACACGAAAGUGGACGUAUAGGGUGUGACGCCUGCCCGGUGCCGGAAGGUUAAUUGAAGAUGUGCAAGCAUCGGAUCGAAGCCCCGGUAAACGGCGGCCGUAACUAUAACGGUCCUAAGGUAGCGAAAUUCCUUGUCGGGUAAGUUCCGACCCGCACGAAUGGCGUAACGAUGGCCACACUGUCUCCUCCCGAGACUCAGCGAAGUUGAAGUGGUUGUGAAGAUGCAAUCUACCCGCUGCUAGACGGAAAGACCCCGUGAACCUUUACUGUAGCUUUGCAUUGGACUUUGAAGUCACUUGUGUAGGAUAGGUGGGAGGCUUGGAAGCAGAGACGCCAGUCUCUGUGGAGUCGUCCUUGAAAUACCACCCUGGUGUCUUUGAGGUUCUAACCCAGACCCGUCAUCCGGGUCGGGGACCGUGCAUGGUAGGCAGUUUGACUGGGGCGGUCUCCUCCCAAAGCGUAACGGAGGAGUUCGAAGGUUACCUAGGUCCGGUCGGAAAUCGGACUGAUAGUGCAAUGGCAAAAGGUAGCUUAACUGCGAGACCGACAAGUCGGGCAGGUGCGAAAGCAGGACAUAGUGAUCCGGUGGUUCUGUAUGGAAGGGCCAUCGCUCAACGGAUAAAAGGUACUCCGGGGAUAACAGGCUGAUUCCGCCCAAGAGUUCAUAUCGACGGCGGAGUUUGGCACCUCGAUGUCGGCUCAUCACAUCCUGGGGCUGUAGUCGGUCCCAAGGGUAUGGCUGUUCGCCAUUUAAAGUGGUACGUGAGCUGGGUUUAAAACGUCGUGAGACAGUUUGGUCCCUAUCUGCAGUGGGCGUUGGAAGUUUGACGGGGGCUGCUCCUAGUACGAGAGGACCGGAGUGGACGAACCUCUGGUGUACCGGUUGUAACGCCAGUUGCAUAGCCGGGUAGCUAAGUUCGGAAGAGAUAAGCGCUGAAAGCAUCUAAGCGCGAAACUCGCCUGAAGAUGAGACUUCCCUUGCGGUUUAACCGCACUAAAGGGUCGUUCGAGACCAGGACGUUGAUAGGUGGGGUGUGGAAGCGCGGUAACGCGUGAAGCUAACCCAUACUAAUUGCCCGUGAGGCUUGACUCUAU
rnacentral:rRNA from 1 species